UGUAUAAUGGGUCAGCGACUUAUAUUCUGUAGCAAGGUUAACCGAAUAGGGGAGCCGAAGGGAAACCGAGUCUUAACUGGGCGUUAAGUUGCAGGGUAUAGACCCGAAACCCGGUGAUCUAGCCAUGGGCAGGUUGAAGGUUGGGUAACACUAACUGGAGGACCGAACCGACUAAUGUUGAAAAAUUAGCGGAUGACUUGUGGCUGGGGGUGAAAGGCCAAUCAAACCGGGAGAUAGCUGGUUCUCCCCGAAAGCUAUUUAGGUAGCGCCUCGUGAAUUCAUCUCCGGGGGUAGAGCACUGUUUCGGCAAGGGGGUCAUCCCGACUUACCAACCCGAUGCAAACUGCGAAUACCGGAGAAUGUUAUCACGGGAGACACACGGCGGGUGCUAACGUCCGUCGUGAAGAGGGAAACAACCCAGACCGCCAGCUAAGGUCCCAAAGUCAUGGUUAAGUGGGAAACGAUGUGGGAAGGCCCAGACAGCCAGGAUGUUGGCUUAGAAGCAGCCAUCAUUUAAAGAAAGCGUAAUAGCUCACUGGUCGAGUCGGCCUGCGCGGAAGAUGUAACGGGGCUAAACCAUGCACCGAAGCUGCGGCAGCGACACUGUGUGUUGUUGGGUAGGGGAGCGUUCUGUAAGCCUGUGAAGGUGUGCUGUGAGGCAUGCUGGAGGUAUCAGAAGUGCGAAUGCUGACAUAAGUAACGAUAAAGCGGGUGAAAAGCCCGCUCGCCGGAAGACCAAGGGUUCCUGUCCAACGUUAAUCGGGGCAGGGUGAGUCGACCCCUA
rnacentral:rRNA from 1 species